rnacentral:rRNA from 1 species
UAACUACGUGCCAGCAGCCGCGGUAAUACGUAGGGGGCAAGCGUUGUCCGGAAUUAUUGGGCGUAAAGCGCGCGCAGGCGGUCCUUUAAGUCUGAUGUGAAAGCCCACGGCUUAACCGUGGAGGGUCAUUGGAAACUGGAGGACUUGAGUACAGAAGAGGAGAGUGGAAUUCCACGUGUAGCGGUGAAAUGCGUAGAGAUGUGGAGGAACACCAGUGGCGAAGGCGACUCUCUGGUCUGUAACUGACGCUGAGGCGCGAAAGCGUGGGGAGCGAACAGGAUUAGAUACCCUGGUAGUCCACGCCGUAAACGAUGAGUGCUAGGUGUUAGGGGGUUUCCGCCCCUUAGUGCUGAAGUUAACGCAUUAAGCACUCCGCCUGGGGAGUACGGCCGCAAGGCUGAAACUCAAAAGAAUUGACGGGGGCCCGCACAAGCGGUGGAGCAUGUGGUUUAAUUCGACGCAACGCGAAGAACCUUACCAGGUCUUGACAUCCUCUGCAAUCGGUAGAGAUACCGAGUUCCCUUCGGGGACAGAGUGACAGGUGGUGCAUGGUUGUCGUCAGCUCGUGUCGUGAGAUGUUGGGUUAAGUCCCGCAACGAGCGCAACCCUUGAUCUUAGUUGCCAGCAUUUAGUUGGGCACUCUAAGGUGACUGCCGGUGACAAACCGGAGGAAGGUGGGGAUGACGUCAAAUCAUCAUGCCCCUUAUGACCUGGGCUACACACGUGCUACAAUGGAUGGAACAAAGGGAAGCAAAACCGCGAGGUCAAGCAAAUCCCAUAAAACCAUUCUCAGUUCGGAUUGCAGGCUGCAACUCGCCUGCAUGAAGCCGGAAUCGCUAGUAAUCGCGGAUCAGCAUGCCGCGGUGAAUACGUUCCCGGGCCUUGUACACACCGCCCGUCACACCACGAGAGUUGUGUAACAA